rnacentral:lncRNA from 1 species
AUGCAGAGAGAUAGACAGAACAGUGACAGACAGGACCCAGGGGGUAGUGCAUCGUUGAUCUUGGUUACAUCUAUUAACAGUCUGAUACAAACCACUCAUCACCUCAACAACCGUUUCAUAAAGUAUCACCUCAACAACCGUUUAAUACAGUAUCACCUUUAUCACCUCAACAACUGUUUCAUAAAGUAUCACCUCAACAACCGUUUAAUACAGUAUCACCUUUAUCACCUCAACAACUGUUUCAUAAAGUAUCACCUCAACAACCGUUUAAUACAGUAUCACCUUUAUCACCUCAACAACCGUUUCAUACAGUAUCACCUUUAUCACCUCAACAACUGUAUCAUAAAGUAUCACCUCAACAACCGUUUCAUACAGUAUCACCUCAACAACCGUUUCAUACAGUAUCACCUCAACAACCGUUUCAUACAGUAUCACCUCAACAACCGUUUCAUACAGUAUCACCUUUAUCACCUCAACAACUGUUUCAUACAGUAUCACCUCAACAACCGUUUAAUACAGUAUCACCUUUAUCACCUCAACAACCGUUUCAUACAGUAUCACCUUUAUCACCUCAACAACUGUUUCAUAAAGUAUCACCUCAACAACCGUUUAAUACAGUAUCACCUUUAUCACCUCAACAACCGUUUCAUACAGUAUCACCUUUAUCACCUCAACAACUGUUUCAUAAAGUAUCACCUCAACAACCGUUUAAUACAGUAUCACCUUUAUCACCUCAACAACUGUUUCAUACAGUAUCACCUCAACAACCGUUUCAUACAGUAUCACCUUCAUCACCUCAAAAAACGUUUAAUACAGUAUCACCUUCAUCACCUGAACAACCGUUUAAUACAGUAUCACCUCAACAACCGUUUCAUACAGUAUCACCUUUAUCACCUCAACAACCGUUUCAUACAGUAUCACCUUUAUCACCUCUACAACCGUUUCAUACAGUAUCACCUUUAUCACCUCUACAACCGUUUCAUACAGUAUCACCUUCAUCACCUCUACAACCGUUUCAUACAGUAUCACCUUCAUCACCUCUACAACCGUUUCAUACAGUAUCACCUUUAUCACCUUCAUCACCUCUACAACCGUUUCAUACAGUAUCACCUUCAUCACCUCUACAACCGUUUCAUACAGUAUCACCUACAUCACCUCUACAACCGUUUCAUACAGUAUCACCUUCAUCACCUCUACAACCGUUUCUAUACAGUAUCACCUUUAUCACCUCUACAACCGUUUCAUACACAACGCCCUGGGGCUGGCUGUUAG